UACGUAGGGGGCAAGCGUUGUCCGGAAUCAUUGGGCGUAAAGAGCGUGUAGGCGGCCAGAUAAGUCCGCUGUGAAAUCUCGAGGCUCAACUUCGAGCUGUCGGUGGAAACUGUCUGGCUAGAGUCCGGAAGAGGAGAAUGGAAUUCCUGGUGUAGCGGUGAAAUGCGCAGAUAUCAGGAAGAACACCCGUGGCGAAGGCGGGUCUCUGGACAGUUCCUGACGCUGAGGCACGAAGGUCAGGGGAGCAAACGGG
rnacentral:rRNA from 1 species